AUUGAGGAAGCCUUCUCUGUCUUCUCUAAGGCAGAGGUAGGUGCCUCUAUCCACAGCAGGGGAAGAAGCAGCCCAUAUACAGCUAAACAUGGAGAGAUUCAGUCCUGCAGCACAGCACAGGAGAUAGCAGGAUAAAUCUCAAUAAGCUGCAGUUUGAUAAGGUAUGGUAAAAAAUAAAAUAAUUAGAGUAUAAAUGAAAUAAUGGAAAAACAAGUAAUUA
rnacentral:lncRNA from 1 species